CUCGCUCGCUCGCUCUCUGCGUUUGGAAUAUGGUUGGGGAAAUGGAAACGAAGGAGAAGCCCAAGCCGAGCCCCGAUUACCUGAUGCAGCUGAUGAACGACAAGAAGCUCAUGAGCAGCCUCCCCAACUUCUGCGGGAUAUUCAACCACCUCGAGAGGCUGCUGGACGAAGAAAUUAGCAGAGUACGGAAAGACAUGUAUAAUGACACAUUAAAUGGUAGCACGGAGAAGAGAAGUGCGGAGUUACCUGAUGCUGUGGGACCUAUUGUACAGCUACAAGAGAAACUAUAUGUGCCUGUAAAAGAAUAUCCAGAUUUUAAUUUUGUUGGAAGAAUUCUUGGGCCUAGAGGGCUAACAGCUAAACAACUUGAGGCUGAAACAGGAUGUAAGAUAAUGGUCCGAGGCAAAGGGUCCAUGAGAGACAAGAAGAAGGAAGAACAAAACAGAGGCAAGCCCAAUUGGGAACAUCUGAAUGAAGACUUGCAUGUAUUAAUCACUGUGGAAGAUGCUCAAAAUAGAGCAGAAAUUAAACUGAAGAGGGCUGUGGAGGAAGUAAAAAAAUUACUGGUACCUGCAGCAGAGGGAGAAGAUAGCCUUAAAAAGAUGCAGUUAAUGGAACUUGCAAUUCUGAAUGGUACCUACCGAGACGCCAAUAUCAAAUCACUCUCAUGCAGUCUUGAAGGCAUAGCAACAGCCCAGGCUCCAAGGAUUAUCACAGGGCCUGCGCCUGUUCUCCCACCAGCUGCCCUGCGUACCCCUACGCCAGCUGGCCCUACCAUAAUGCCUUUGAUCAGACAAAUACAGACCGCUGUCAUGCCAAAUGGAACUCCUCACCCAACUGCUGCAAUAGUUCCCCCAGGACCUGAAGCUGGUUUAAUUUACACACCUUAUGAAUAUCCCUACACACUGGCACCUGCUACAUCAAUUCUUGAGUAUCCUAUUGAACCCAGUGGGGUAUUAGGUAUGGCUUUCCCAACGAAAGGCUAAGAAUUCAAGAAUGGUCUUAACUGAACCUCAUCAGAGCUGACUUUUAACAAAUGUUUAGUUUUCAGCAGCCUUGAAAAAAAAAUGUAGCCUAGCAGUCAGUGACUUACUUGCACUUUUUUGCACAUAGAAAUAAAAAUGCUAUUAAUUUGAUGUAGCCUGUGCUAUGGCAAACUAGCUGUGAUUUAUGAGUGUAUGGUAGUAUACUGACUGCUAUGUAUUCUGUACUAUCUGCUUUACUAAUCACCUAAUUCAUUGCAGUUCACAGUUAUUGACUUAGUUUUUUUAAAACACAGUCUGUAGGCUUGAGGAAUUGUGUUAUAAUUUUUUUAAAAAUGGUAAAAACUGGAAGUUGUUUAAAAAUUAGCAAAGAACCUUCAGUAUUAAAAAUGGCAUUAUUUAAGAUAGUCCUGCUGCAAGGAAGGCACUUCAGUGAAUAUGUGACUAGUAAAGCUCAGUUGUGUUUGGGUCUAGUAGAUUUCAUGAAAUACUGUAAUCAAGUUUGUAAAUGAAUGGAUAAUGCAGGUUAAGGCCUGGAUGUUUAAAAUAAAUGCAAUAUUAAUCUGCACAGAUAUAAUCCAUAUAUUAAGGUUAAAAUUUGAAACUACUGUGCCUUAACUUGUUGCUUUCUUUAAAUGGUAUUUUAAGAAAGUGAUCGUUUUAAAUCCAUUUUGAUAAGCCUGCUGUUAAUGUUUUUUCAAAUGUUUUCUAACUAUCUUGGUAAUUGCAAUUUAACUAGGUGCGGUGGCUACUAAAGUUCGAAGGCACGAUAUGCGUGUCCAUCCUUACCAAAGGAUUGUGACCGCAGACAGAGCCGCCACCGGCAACUAACCUAUGACCUUCUGACCUCUGAACUCUUCACCCAAUGAUGACCUGACCAUGCCUGCCUGCUGAUCAGUUAACUGGUAAUCGCCUUUGCUUGUCUGUCUUCAGUGCAGCGAGCUGAGGCAUUUGUCCGUUCGUCUUACCAUCUAACAAAAAGACAAAGAAUUUGUUGUCCUCCAACUCAGCUUUUUUUCCCUGUUUGGGUGAAAGUGGUUCUAGAACCUGCACUGAAUAGUAGUAAAGCAAUAAGGUCCAAUUCAUCCCUCCGCACUGAUCAUCUUUUAGUGUCCCACCCUAAAAAUGGUAAGAAGGGCCUAAUUUAAGAGAUGGAAGCAGAUGUCCCUUAACUCUCUGAUGUCAGAGGCAGUUACUGUGAGACUUCUAGGAAUCUUUCUCUUCUCAUAAAGAAGUCAAAGCUCUCUUUGAAUGUACUGUGUGAUGAUGCAUCAUGCAUGAACCUUUGGUCAGGGAUGUCAUUGGUGAAGGGAUUCCUAAAAGUAUUCAAAAUUUGACAUGCAGUGUAGUCACUACCAAUGCCCUCAAAGGGCAGAAGAUGCAGCCUUUUUUAUAUUACCUGCCAAAUUGGGUGUUUUUAAUUAAAAAAAAAGUGCCAUGAAAAAUAGGUUACUGAAUUUUUGAACCACAUCAAUGCAUAAAAAGACAGCAACACUAUAGAAGCUAAUGCUGAGAUAUAGUUCUUUUACUAUACAUCAACUUCCUUUUAAAAAAUUAUAUGAGUACAAGGUACAUGCAUUAUGUGUCACAUUACUGGGCAAACUGUUCAAAUAUUUUUUUAAGCCUCCCUGUAUAGAGUUAAAUUCAUAAGGAUAUAAAAGCCAUGCUUGCCUAUUUGCUGUAUACAUGUAAUGAAAUUGUAGAUAAAGUGUAGUGCAUUGAAACAAAUUGAAAAAAAAAGUAGAUACUUUUACUAUACAAGGGUGCUGGUGCAGAAGAAAUAUAUAUUUUUGGAAAUGUAGCAUUUUAUACUUUCAAGUGUUAUAAAAAAGAAAAAAGAACAAAGAAACCCUUUAUUUCAUUAAAUGAUUUUUUCUGGUGGUUGUCAAGAAACAAAAGACCAAAAGAGCCUUUUUGUCUUUCUUUUUUAUUUUUUAAGUAUUGGAAUAAGUAUAAAGAAAAGAAAGUGCCUUAUUUUCUUCAUGGUCAUUUAGUCAGGUGUGUCGUAUAAUCAGCUCCUCCCUAAGACAGCAAGUUAAUGCAUGCCACUCAGUCGCCCAGUAUGUGAAAAGAAGCUGUGAGGAAAGACAAAUGAGUUGACUAUUAAAAUUACCUGGUUUUUGCCACAGCAUGAUGCAACCUUGUCAGAUCCUAAACUGUGAAAUAGAAUUGUUCCACCAACAGCCAACCGCAAUAUUUUUGUAACAUGUUCCCUCUUCAAUUGUAGACAAUAUAUUUUUAUAAUACUUGCUCAGCCUUAAACCAAAGGGUUCUAUGAUGCAGUUUCAUUCUAAAUCAAAUUAUAAGAUUACAAUAGUUAUAGAGUAGCAAGUGUUUUGGGUUUUUUUAAUUAUUAUUUAGAGAUUGGUUUUCUUUUUUUCUGAUUGAAAUAGAUGCAGGAAACUACAAGAGAACUUAAACUUGCUCCCAUAUAAUUUGGUCCAUGACUAAACCAAACAUUAAGAUUGAGCAUGUUAUAAGCUCUGGGUGUUUUAUCUACAAUGCCAAGUAGAGUAUAGAUUUGCAUAAUUUUUCUACUUGAUGAAUGUUAACUACUGGUUGCGCUUUCCAUUAAAGGAGGAUAUACCAAUUUACUAUCUUGGAAAAUCCAGCUGUGGUUCACUUUGAAUUUUUAAAAGAAGUUCGUGUAGCUGAAUUAGUAUUAAUUAACACUAGUGUUUAUAAACACUUUACGCACAAACAUGGAGUAUAAAAUUAAUGAGCAAGUAUCAACAUGGUAAUGGCUUUGAAACCAAUUGGCAAAGAUCAGGUGAUACCUUGCCCUUUACAUUGUGUCAGCUUAUUCUCCUAAAAACCUUCACAGUUUCCGAAUCAAAGGUCAAUAGUAAGUUAGGUAAGAGGGCUUAUUUUUUAAGCAUCUGCAUGGUGACUUUAUCAACAUUGUGUCUCACCUGGAAACAAGUAUCAGUUUAUUUACUAUGCAAUAAACAUUCAUGUUUUUGUACUCAGCUAGCUUUCCUUUUAUUCUGCCACUGGCUUUGUCUUCCUGUUACAUAACAUUUUUGUUUUUUAUUUGGUUUUACUUUUGGUAUAUGCUGUGCCAUUUUGAUUUUUGUUUGGUUGAAUAAACUUGCGACACUCAAACAUUUUGGAGAGAGAAUUGCUAUAACGUUACCAGUAUUUGAUCCAGUUUCAUCUCAACUGUGAUAAACCUGGACAUUUUUAGAUGCUGAUCAGAGGUCUCUUCUUGGGAGAAGCGUGACUUCUAAAAGUAAUGUUUGUUCUGAAACAAAGUUUGAAAACUUGGUUGAUAACAUUUUGGAUCAACUUAAAGCAUGACUUUUGAAUCUCUGAAUGCCUUGGUUCUCAGUAUUAUCAUUCUUUAUUGAAUUUUUCUUUCUUAAAAUAUGUAGUUUAAGUCUUUUUUCUGACAGUAUUAUGUAAUUUUUAGAGUGGGUAUAUGGGAGUGUCGCUUGUAUGUAACCGUACAGAUGACAUGUAUUUGUCUAUUCUUUUAUCUUAGUUUGAUGCUAUGUAUGUAACAUAACCAACCUAUUGCCUAUGAGAAACAUGUAAGAUAAUGUAUUUACAGCCAUUGUUACAAGUUUAUAAUGUAUUUUUCUAUCUUGUUUUAUAUGUAUGUUAUAUAACAUUCAGAAUAAUUUUUUUCCUGAUUGAGAAAAGGAUACAAAAAUGCAAAACCCACAAUUUUGAUAACUGAAAAUUGCUAAUUGUUUUGCAGUACUUUAUUAUUAUAUUGGGAGUGUUGUCUUUCUUAGGCUUUUAGUUAGCUACUGGAUUGAAUACAUUAGACAUAUUUGGGUUUUAGUUGGGUUUUUACAUAGCUUGCAUUUUAAUUCUUUGGUUCUUUGCUGUUUCUAUUAACCCAUAGCAUUAUUUUAAUAAAUGUUAUAAUACCAACCUACUAACUUUGGACUAUGUCAGUUUAUUAACCAUUACAUGUUUAAUUGAAUAAACAAGGCAAGACAAAA